CUUUGUCGCAGGGGAAGGUUGUCCAUGACUUUGUUUAGGUUAGUUUAGCUUUCGCACUAGGAAGAGUCAGAGAUGUCAAUAUUGGAUAAAUUUUAUUUCAGUCUCAAGAAACCGACAUCAAUUGAAAUUGGUGGGAGUUGUUCAAUAUAAGCUGUAGCGAAGCCGUCUGUUUAUAAUGAUCUUUGUUGGUAAAGACCAUGCUGGAAAGUGCACCAAGAUAUGGUAAACCCGGUGAUGGAGGUGCUACUGAUGAGCUUAUGGAUCCAACAACGGAGCUCCAACAGCAGCAGCAGGCUGUAGAUGAUUGAACUUGCAGGCGAACCCAUAUUUACAAACCCCGGUUCGCGUAGGUACGCAAACAAGAAUUCCAACCAAGGAUAACCGGAGGCUAAAUUAGAGCUGAGGUCGCAGGAAUCAUUUCAAAUACAUGCCUGGCCAAAUUUCAAGCUGACUAAGCUUCUGCUAAAAGAGACAUGUAAUUAGAUAGAAGAUCGGAGGUGUUCCAAUCAGGUAAAGAAGGCCUUUGAAUUCGGGUCAGGUGCUCCCAUUCAUCGGUUUACUUGCCCCGACUUGGUUCUUAAGAAGGUAAACAAAAACUCCAGCAAAGAAUAAUUUAAGGAAAGAGAGGCAACCAUUUGCCCGAGGACUAAUGUGUGGAAACAAAAUCAGCCUAGAUCAUGGGCUAAUGAUAGACCCACGUCAAUCGAAUUGUCAUUAAGCUCAUUAUGAUGGCUUAUGGAGCUCAUCGUCGUCGGAACAAUGAAGUCCAUGCCUUCUAUCUUAUGAUGGCUUAUGGAUGUGCAUGAAACUGCCAUUUGUUCGUGAAGAUUUAGAGAUGGUU